UACGGGGGGAGCAAGCGUUGUUCGGAUUUACUGGGCGUAAAGGGCGCGUAGGCGGUCAGCACAAGUCAGUUGUGAAAUCUCCGGGCUUAACUCGGAAAGGUCAACUGAUACUGUGCGACUAGAGUGCAGAAGGGGCAACUGGAAUUCUCGGUGUAGCGGUGAAAUGCGUAGAUAUCGAGAGGAACACCUGCGGCGAGGGCGGGUUGCUGGGCUGACACUGACGCUGAUGCGCGAAAGCCAGGGGAGCGAACGGG
rnacentral:rRNA from 1 species